rnacentral:tRNA from 1 species
GGGCUGUUAGCUCAACUGGACAGAGCAGGGACCUUCUAAGUCUCAGGUUGGGGGUUCGAGUCCCUCACAGCCCGCCA